UGGGGAAUAUUGCACAAUGGGCGCAAGCCUGAUGCAGCCAUGCCGCGUGUAUGAAGAAGGCCUUCGGGUUGUAAAGUACUUUCAGCGAGGAGGAAGGCGUUGUGGUUAAUAACCGCAGCGAUUGACGUUACUCGCAGAAGAAGCACCGGCUAACUCCGUGCCAGCAGCCGCGGUAAUACGGAGGGUGCAAGCGUUAAUCGGAAUUACUGGGCGUAGAGCGCACGCAGGCGGUCUGUCAAGUCGGAUGUGAAAUCCCCGGGCUCAACCUGGGAACUGCAUCCGAAACUGGCAGGCUAGAGUCUUGUAGAGGGGGGUAGAAUUCCAGGUGUAGCGGUGAAAUGCGUAGAGAUCUGGAGGAAUACCGGUGGCGAAGGCGGCCCCCUGGACAAAGACUGACGCUCAGGUGCGAAAGCGUGGGGAGCAAACA
rnacentral:rRNA from 1 species